rnacentral:rRNA from 1 species
GACGAACGCUGGCGGCGUGCUUAACACAUGCAAGUCGAGCGGAAAGGCCCUUCGGGGUACUCGAGCGGCGAACGGGUGAGUAACACGUGAGUAACCUGCCCCAGACUUUGGGAUAACCCUCGGAAACGGGGGCUAAUACCGGAUACGACACAGCUUCGCAUGGGGUCUGUGUGGAAAGUUUUUCGGUUUGGGAUGGGCUCGCGGCCUAUCAGCUUGUUGGUGGGGUGAUGGCCUACCAAGGCGACGACGGGUAGCCGGCCUGAGAGGGCGACCGGCCACACUGGGACUGAGACACGGCCCAGACUCCUACGGGAGGCAGCAGUGGGGAAUAUUGCACAAUGGGCGGAAGCCUGAUGCAGCGACGCCGCGUGAGGGAUGACGGCCUUCGGGUUGUAAACCUCUUUCAGCAGGGACGAAGCGUAAGUGACGGUACCUGCAGAAGAAGCGCUGGCCAACUACGUG